rnacentral:rRNA from 1 species
UAACACGUGGGCAACCUGCCUUAUACUGGGGGAUAACAGUUAGAAAUGACUGCUAAUACCGCAUAAGCGCCCAUCCCCGCAUGGGGAAGAGCGAAAAACUCCGGUGGUAUAAGAUGGGCCCGCGCCUGAUUAGGUAGUUGGUGGGGUAACGGCCUACCAAGCCGACGAUCAGUAGCCGACCUGAGAGGGUGGCCGGCCACAUUGGGACUGAGACACGGCCCAAACUCCUACGGGAGGCAGCAGUGGGGAAUAUUGCACAAUGGGGGAAACCCUGAUGCAGCGACGCCGCGUGAGUGAAGAAGUAUUUCGGUAUGUAAAGCUCUAUCAGCAGGGAAGAAAAUGACGGUACCUGACUAAGAAGCCCCGGCUAACUACGUGCCAGCAGCCGCGGUAAUACGUAGGGGGCAAGCGUUAUCCGGAUUUACUGGGUGUAAAGGGAGCGUAGACGGCUGUGCAAGCCAGAUGUGAAAGCCCGGGGCUCAACCCCGGGACUGCAUUUGGAACUGUGUGGCUGGAGUGUCGGAGAGGCAGGCGGAAUUCCUAGUGUAGCGGUGAAAUGCGUAGAUAUUAGGAGGAACACCAGUGGCGAAGGCGGCCUGCUGGACGAUGACUGACGUUGAGGCUCGAAAGCGUGGGGAGCAAACAGGAUUAGAUACCCUGGUAGUCCACGCCGUAAACGAUGACUACUAGGUGU